rnacentral:rRNA from 1 species
GAUGAAUGCUGGCGGCGUGCCUAACACAUGCAAGUCGAGCGGCAGCGCGAGUAGUUUACUACUUGGCGGCGAGCGGCGGACGGCUGAGUAACGCGUGGGAACGUGCCCCAAAGUGAGGAAUAACUGCCCGAAAGGGUGGCUAAUGCCGCAUAUGAUCUUCGGAUUAAAGGAUUUAUCCGCUUUGGGAGCGGCCCGCGUCGGAUUAGGUUGUUGGUGAGGUAAUGGCUCACCAAGCCGACGAUCCGUAGCUGGUCUGAGAGGAUGAUCAGCCAGACUGGGACUGAGACACGGCCCAGACUCCUACGGGAGGCAGCAGUGAGGAAUCUUCCACAAUGGGCGAAAGCCUGAUGGAGCAACGCCGCGUGAAGGAUGAAGGCCCUCGGGUUGUAAACUUCUUUUAUAAGUGAAGGAUAUGACGGUAACUUAUGAAUAAGCACCGGCUAACUACGUGCCAGCCGCCGCAGUAA